rnacentral:rRNA from 1 species
UACGGGGGGAGCAAGCGUUGUUCGGAUUUACUGGGCGUAAAGGGCGCGUAGGCGGCGCAACAAGUCACUUGUGAAAUCUCCGGGCUUAACCCGGAGCGGCCAAGUGAUACUGUCGUGCUAGAGUGCGGAAGGGGCUACUGGAAUUCUCGGUGUAGCGGUGAAAUGCGUAGAUAUCGGGAGGAACACCAGUGGCGAAGGCGGCUUUCUGGCCUGUUCUUGACGCUGAGGCGCGAAAGCCAGGGGAGCAAACGGG